GAAGACCUUACCCGACUUAGCUGAGAGGUGGUGCAUGGCCGUCGUCAGUUCGUACUGUGAAGCAUCCUGUUAAGUCAGGCAACGAGCGAGACCCACGUCCACAGUUGCCAGCAUACCCUCCGGGGUGGAUGGGUACACUGUGGAGACCGCCGCUGCUAAAGCGGAGGAAGGAGUGGGCAACGGUAGGUCAGUAUGCCCCGAAUCUCCCGGGCUACACGCGGGCUACAAUGGUUGGUACAAUGGGCAUCUACCCCGAAAGGGGAAGGAAAUCUCUUAAAGCCAAUCGUAGUUCGGAUUGAGGGCUGCAACUCGCCCUCAUGAAGCUGGAAUCCGUAGUAAUCGCGUUUCAACAGAACGCGGUGAAUACGUCCCUGCUCCUU
rnacentral:rRNA from 1 species